UUUUUUUCCUUCUUCUUUCUUCUUUAACCAUGAAACCGAGAGAGGAGAUCGAGACAGGGAAGAUUAAUGGAAGAUGAUUGGAGAUAGAAAUGAUUGAAGAUAGAAAUUGAGAAGGAUUCAAAGUAGAAGAUGUGAAUGCUGCCAUCGAUUAACAACAGGAAGAAUGGAAAUUGUCGCUGCUGUUUGAAGUGAAGAGUUAGGGUUUUGCAGCGAAAUUCGAAAGUAAUUGAAGAAUUAAAUCAAGGGUCUGAGAAUUUGAGGGUUUUUCUGAGUCUUGAUGUUACGGAGAAGAAGAUUUGGUUCUCUGUUAGCAGAGAGAAGGGUUGAGGAACUCAAAUCGGUGAUGUGGAAAUCAGAGAGAUGGGUUCGAUGUUGUUACCAUGGUGAUUGUCAAAGGAUGGGGUUGUUGUCAAAUUAAGAGAAGAACGAAGAUCCUGGGUUGUGUAAUUUAUGGGUUUUGUUCAGAGAAGAUGAUGGAGAUGCUGUUGUGACACGACGGGGUUGAAAUUGAAGAACUGAAAGUGAAAUUAAUCUUAGCUAUAUUGGGAUUUCACUUAAUUCUACUAGAUCAGUGCUUGAUCAUAUACAGGGAGAUGAUUUGCAUGUCAGUUGUUAUUAAUAUUAAUGUGUAUGCGAUAUCGACUGCUCAGAUGUACUCAAAUACUCCGGCAGAUUUUGACUUUAAACUUGAAAGGUUAACCGUUAAGAAGAUAUCAAAUUGUGGUUAUAUUGUCAAACGUUUGAACACUAAUUUUUGACUUAGUUGCUACUGCUUGUGUUGCUUUGCAGCCUUGCCCAAGGUUUCUAGUCUUUGUCUGAAUUUGCAGAACAUGUUGCCUCCUCUGUAGAUAUAAUAUUUCCAGUGAUUGAUGGUCGUGUUGGUGAAGAUGGAGUCAUACAGGAUUGUAUGAUGGAUGUUUGGAAAAUGUAUUUAAAUGCCAAUGCAAAUCCAAGUCCAGUUGUUCAAGUAUCAAAUAGUUUGUGAAAAUUGCGAACGAAAUGUAUGUAGAUAAUUGAAAAGCUUUCUGUAAAAGCACCAUCUGCUGAAGUAAAACUCAGUCUUCUGAUUGAAAUUGCUCAAAAGUACAAUAUGCAUUGGGAUCCUUUAACCGCUAUAGCAGAGUUCGGCAAAAAUCAUGAAGAUCUUCUGGAAUGAUUGCAGGGAGAGCAUGGAAGAGCUGGAGCAAUGGAAUUGAAGUGGCAAGCAGUAAAGAUUUGGCAGUGUUUUUUGUGGUGUUGGCUUGUUGUUGUCAUCAGUUGGAGGAAAUGGUAUUGGCAGAAGAUGAUGAAGUUGAGUUGAGAAGAUAGACAUGAAGUGGUGAGUUGUAGGUGCAGUUUUGGUGUUGGGAUGUUUGAACUGGAGUGGCUUGAUCUGUGUUGAAAAAUGCAAUUGCGCAGUGAAUGAAACGGAGAUGCAGCUACGGAUGAUGCAAGACAAUGAGCUGGUGUUGUUAUUUAUGAAGCUACAGAAUGAAUUUGAUAUUGCAGCUGCAAUUGCAAUGGAUGCAGUGGACUGAGAAGAUCAGUGUUGGCGAAUGCAGUUGCAGAUAAUGGUGCAAUUGAUCUGCAAAUGGAGUUCAGGCUGAGAUGGAACUGAAAAAAUGGGUAGCUGCAGUUGGUUUGUGCUGAUUUAGUGUGAAGCAGUGGUCAGGGAACUGUAGGUGCUACGGUGGUGCUGCAAUGAAGAAAAUGGGAGAGCUAAAUACUGAGAUUGGGAAGAUAUGAAGCUUCUGCAGCUGUGGAAUGUGGCUGAACUGAAGUUGUGAUGCGCAGUGAGGCGUAGCAGGAGCUUAGACCUUGGAAAAUUGGACCAGUCAGCUAAGCCGACUCUGACUCACCAUCUGACUAGACCCUGACUCAGUGCUUGACCGGCUUGACUCAGCUGACAAGAACGGGUUGACUCAUUUGACCGGUGUCUGGAUGGACUUUGCCGGUUACCUGAGCUACUUUCUCGUCCAACUUCCGGCGAUCGUACAUCAUCUUUACAAUGUUUUUUUUUUUUCAUUUACAAAUCUGAAUCCAUGCAAUAAUGUAGUUGUGGCGUUUCUUCAAGUUCUUCGGUCGACCCACCCGUCGUGGCAACGGUUGUACUAGUUUUCUCUAAGCUAUCAAGAAAGAGACAAAAAAAAUAACAUAGGACUAAAAAAAUAUAGUAGAUCAUUGUUCUUUCUUCUC